AGAUGAUAUAAAUAAUCUGAAAGAUGGAAAUACUAGAGAGUAAGCAGAGGCUAAGAAGGUUGGCGGAGGCCGCCGAUAUUUCAAUAGAUUCAAAUAUACCCAUCAGACGAUAUUACCGGUCUGGUACAGAGAUGCUGAGGAUGGCCAAGGUUCACUUGAACGAGGGUAACCUCGAGGCUACUUAUGUCCUCUACAUGAAAUAUAUUACUCUCUUCCUUGAGAAAAUAAUGACGCACAGAGAUUUUGGCCAGGUUCUGCCAGCGGAGAAAAGGAAAACUAAAGAAACCUUGAAACUUGUUCUUUCAUUAACAGAGGAAACCAAAUCCAAACUUGACAGAAUAUUUCAAGAAGAACAUGAAGAUUGGUUGAUCAGAGAGGAAGAAAGAAUUAGAGACGAAGAAAUAAGGAAACGAGAAGAAGAAGAACUGAACAGAAGACGGGCGGCGGAGAAUUUGAAGCGAUUAGAAAUGAUUGAGAAGGAUCGUCAGUUCGCGAUCCUAGCUCAGGAAGAGAUAAAUAGAGAGCUAGCUGGAGAAACAUCGAAACCUGCAAAAUACAAUCCGGAAAAUUAUCUUCCCAGUCCUUCCCACGAGGCUCCGCCAUCCUAUGCUUCCGUGGCAGAUCAAUAUUCGCCUCAACCCAGCUCAGCUCCGUCUUAUGAAGAACCAAAGGAAGAUUUUGCCUCAGCGCUGGACCGGUUUCGUUCAGAUGCAUCCGCCCCGGCUCUGCCCCCUGCCUUUGAUAGAUCCGCCAAACCUAGCUCCAGUAUUCAGAAUAAUAUCGUUUUCGACUCCGGGUCCCAUAUCCGUCCCGACUACGGGUCCCAAAUCCGUCCCGACUCCGGGUCCCAAAUCCGUCCCGUUAUCCCGGAUAGAUCCAAGAAACCUGAUUUUGCUCCGAAAGAUCUGCACGGAGUAACAGUUCCGGAAAAAUUAAUUCAAAGAUUUCUAGCUUUAGCCAAACCAAACUCAGAUAAGAAUAUUGAAACUCUUGGAAUGCUCGGCGGAAAAUUGGCGAAAAAUAGGUUUACGGUGACCCACCUACUGAUCCCAAAGCAAACUGGAAAAUCUGAUAGAUGUGAUCUUGAAGGAUAUGAGGAACUAUUUGAUUUAUACGACAAGGAGGAUAUUAUAAUGGUUGGUUGGAUUCACACCCACCCGGCCUACGACGUGUUUCUCUCCAGUGUGGAUAUGCACAACCAGUAUGAGUACCAGAAGAUGCUGAAGGAGUUCAUCGCUAUCGUCUGUAGUAUCAAGUUCGGAGAAACAGGAUACCUAUCAUUAACAGAACAAGGACUCCAGGAAAUAGGAAACUGCAACCUGGAGAACUUUCAUCCACACUCAAAGGAUCCUCCGCUGUUCUCCGAAGCUUCCCACGUUACUGUAGAUCCUACACUGGAGAUUCAAGUCACAGAUCUCAGAUGAAAUAUUUAUAGUUUCAGUGUUCGGUAUCCUGAACAAUCCGGUUUCGAACAUUUUACCUUUUUUUUUGGCUGUCAGCUGGAUCAACUUCAUUAAUAAGUUUUUCAACUAAUUAAGCACGAGAUAUUUUCAAUUUUUGUAUUUUCAAAAUUCUAUUGAUUGCAUAUUUUUAACAGCACAAGAAGUUUUUAGGGUAUAUCAUCUACCAAAAAUAGGAUGAAAAAAAAUCGACCAAAAAUAAAUCUUCAAACCUUUUGUAAAGGAAUCUGUUAUAAUCGUUUUCAUCUAGUCAAAAAAUUUUCAUUUUCCUAAAGUUGCCAAAUUUAACUUAUUACGACAUUUUUAAUUUGAUUUUUCAUGCUCG
rnacentral:misc_RNA from 1 species